rnacentral:rRNA from 1 species
UGGGGAAUAUUGCACAAUGGGCGCAAGCCUGAUGCAGCGACGCCGCGUGGGGGAUGAAGGCCUUCGGGUUGUAAACUUCUUUCGCUAGGGACGAAGCCUAUGGUGACGGUACCUGGAGAAGAAGCACCGGCUAACUACGUGCCAGCAGCCGCGGUAAGACGCAGGGUGCGAGCGUUGUCCGGAAUUACUGGGCGUAAAGAGCCGGUAGGUGGGUUGUGGCGUCGUCGGUGAAAUCACGGGGCUUAACUUGAGGCGUGCAGGCGAUCCGUGCCUGACCUGCGUGCGGUGGUGGGGACUGGGCUUCAUGGUGUAGCGGUGAAAUGCGCGGAUAACAUGAUAGACACCAAAGGCGAAGGCAGGUCUCUGUGCAGUACCUUACGCUGAGUAGCGAAAGCAUGGGUGGCGAACAAG